CCCGCUGAACUUAAGCAUAUCAAUAAGCGGAGGAAAAGAAACCAACAGGGAUUACCUCAGUAACGGCGAGUGAAGCGGUAACAGCUCAAAUUUGAAAUCUGGCCUCACGGUCCGAGUUGUAAUUUGUAGAGGAUGCUUCGAGCAUGGUCUGGCCUAAGUUCCUUGGAACAGGACGUCAUAGAGGGUGAGAAUCCCGUAUGCGGCCAGGUGCCUACGCUCAUGUGAAGCUCCUUCGACGAGUCGAGUUGUUUGGGAAUGCAGCUCAAAAUGGGUGGUAAAUUUCAUCUAAAGCUAAAUAUUGGCCAGAGACCGAUAGCGCACAAGUAGAGUGAUCGAAAGAUGAAAAGCACUUUGGAAAGAGAGUUAAACAGUACGUGAAAUUGUUGAAAGGGAAGCGCUUGCAACCAGACUUGCGCGCGGCCGAUCAUCCGGUGUUCUCACCGGUGCACUCGGCCGUGCUCAGGCCAGCAUCGGUUUUGGCGGCUGGAUAAAGGCCCUAGGAAUGUAGCUCCUCUCGGGGAGUGUUAUAGUCUAGGGUGCAAUGCAGCCUGCUGGGACCGAGGACCGCGCUUCGGCUAGGAUGCUGGCGUAAUGGUUGUAAGCGGCCCGUCU
rnacentral:rRNA from 1 species